rnacentral:rRNA from 1 species
CUACGUGCCAGCAGCCGCGGUAAUACGGAAGGUCCGGGCGUUAUCCGGAAUUAUUGGGUUUAAAGGGAGCGCAGGCGGGAGUGUAAGUCAGCUGUUAAAUAUCAGGGCCCAACCCUGUUAUGCAGUUGAAACUAUAUUUCUUGAGUACGCACAGGGAUGGCGGAAUUCAGGGUGUAGCGGUGAAAUGCUUAGAUAUGACGAAGAACUCCGAUUGCGAAGGCAGCUGACGGGAGCGCAACUGACGCUGAAGCUCGAAGGUGCGGGUAUCGAACAGGAUUAGAUACCCUGGUAGUCCGCACAGUAAACGAUGGAUGCCCGCUGUUGGUACGUGGUAUCAGCGGCUAAGCGAAAGCAUUAAGCAUCCCACCUGGGGAGUACGCCGGCAACGGUGAAACUCAAAGGAAUUGACGGGGGCCCGCACAAGCGGAGGAACAUGUGGUUUAAUUCGAUGAUACGCGAGGAACCUUACCCGGGCU